GACGAACGCUGGCGGCGUGCUUAACACAUGCAAGUCGAACGGAAAGGCCCUGCUUUUGUGGGGUGCUCGAGUGGCGAACGGGUGAGUAACACGUGAGUAACCUGCCCUUGACUUUGGGAUAACUUCAGGAAACUGGGGCUAAUACCGGAGAGGAGCUCCUGCUGCAUGUUGGGGGUUGGAAAGUUUCGGCGGUUGGGGAUGGACUCGCGGCUUAUCAGCUUGUUGGUGGGGUAGUGGCUUACCAAGGCUUUGACGGGUAGCCGGCCUGAGAGGGUGACCGGCCACAUGGGGACUGAGAUACGGACCAGAAUCGUACGGGCGGCAGCAGUGGGGAAUAUUGCAGAAUGGGCGGAAGCCUGAUGUAGCAACGCCGCGUGCGGGAUGACGGCCUUCGGGUUGUAAACCGCUUUCGCCUGUGACGAAGCGUGAGUGACGGUAAUGGGUAAAGAAGCAACGGCUAACUACGUG
rnacentral:rRNA from 1 species